rnacentral:rRNA from 1 species
ACUCCUACGGGAGGCAGCAGUGGGGAAUAUUGCACAAUGGGGAAACCCUGAUGCAGCCAUGCCGCGUGUGUGAAGAAGGCCUUCGGUUGUAAAGCACUUUCAGUAGGGAGGAAGGUAGUGUAGUUAACACCUGCAUUAUUUGACGUUACCUACAGAAGAAGCACCGGCUAACUCCGUGCCAGCAGCCGCGGUAAUACGGAGGGGUGCGAGCGUUAAUCGGAAUUACUGGGCGUAAAGCGCAUGCAGGCGGCCUGUUAAGUCAGAUGUGAAAGCCCGGGGGCUUAACCUCGGAAUUGCAUUUGAAACUGGCAGGCUAGAGUCUUGUAGAGGGGGUAGAAUUUCAGGUGUAGCGGUGAAAUGCGUAGAGAUCUGAAGGAAUACCAGUGGCGAAGGCGGCCCCCUGGACAAAGACUGACGCUCAGAUGCGAAAGCGUGGGGAGGCAAACAGGAUUAGAUACCCUGGUAGCACA